GUGAACCAUAUUGGGACAGAGUGGGACGGGAUCAGUAGAAGCGGAAUAAAAGCCCCGAUACCCAGAUUUAAUGCCAAAGAUGUGGCGGACCCCAUACAGGUCCCAGAGCCCGACCACCAGCUCCCUGAUGACGGUGUUCAUUCCGGGACACAGGCCUCCGCAAGUGACGAUGGCGGCGCGGACGUGGGAGUGAUCGAAGUAGAUGUGCUUACGGGGGCCGGCUCUGUGGUAGGCGUCCAGCUGCUGCAGGUGGUGGGUUGCUGAGCCUGAGCUCCCAGCAGAGAGAGAGAGGUCGAAGAGGAUGUUGCGAAAGAUGACGUCGGUUGGGGAAAGGUAGAAGCCGGAGAUUGGGUGAAAGAAAGGGAUGGAGUCCAAGGGGUUAACGUGGGUUUGGAGGUGAGGAAGGUAAUCGGUGAGGUGGGUGAGGCUAUGGAGAUUGAUGACGCUAUUGUUAUCAACGCUGAUAAUAUUGGAGGAUGAGACGGGCGGUUGCUGC
rnacentral:lncRNA from 1 species